rnacentral:rRNA from 1 species
GACAGAGGGUGCAAGCGUUGUUCGGAAUUAUUGGGCGUAAAGGGCGCGUAGGCGGCCCCGUAAGUCAGAUGUGAAAUCCCAGGGCUUAACCCUGGAAGUGCAUCUGAUACUGCGAGGCUUGAGUCACGGAGAGGGUGGUGGAAUUCCCAGUGUAGAGGUGAAAUUCGUAGAUAUUGGGAGGAACACCGGUGGCGAAGGCGACCACCUGGACGAUGACUGACGCUGAGGCGCGAAAGCGUGGGGAGCAAACAGG